GCCCGCGUAGCUCAGCUGGAUAGAGCAGUGCCCUUCUAAGGCAAAGGCCACAGGUUCAAAUCCUGUCGCGGGUACCA
rnacentral:tRNA from 1 species